CCUAGGUGUAUCGGUGACACGAGUCACCGAGGUGCCGAAGAGAAUCGUGUAACGUGCCGCCUGGGAAGUACGGUCGCAAGGCUGAAACUUAAAGGAAUUGGCGGGGGAGCACCACAACAGGUGGAGCCUGCGGUUUAAUCGGACUCAACGCCGGGAAACUCACCGGAUAAGACAGCUGAAUGAUAGCCGGGCUGAAGACUCUGCUUGACUAGCUGAGAGGAGGUGCAUGGC
rnacentral:rRNA from 1 species